GGCUGGUUGGCGCAGUGGUAGCACAGUGGAGCUGCUGCCUUGUCAUUCACAUCGUUGGUGGUGUGAACGAGAAAGCGGCAGCACCGCAGGACCGGGAUUCGAAUCCCCGAUCGGCCG